rnacentral:misc_RNA from 1 species
GAAAAAGUUAAUAAUCUUGUGGUAACCCUUGUCAAUGAAUCCUUGAAGAAGAUGGCAGAUGAAAAUAUUUAUGCUUGCCUGAAAAUGUCAGUGGCAUGAACUGAAACUACUACUAUCCAUAGGAUUCCAGACUCAUUUUGAUAGUAAUUUUGAUUUGGGAACAUCUUAAUUGUUCUGCUCUAGUUAUUUUCUUUUGGUAGCAAUACCAAUAAUAACUUGAAAAAAAGGCAUUUGGAAUUACUCUACCCUUAAGGAGACGUAAAAAGAAGAACAAUAACAAGAAAUUUGAAUUCUGGACUGCACUCCUAUGCUUUAUAUUAACGCAUGAGUGGUCUUACAGACAGUGCAUCAUUUAAGAAAUCUUUUACCCUUGCUGCCAGUUUCAAUUUAUUUGUAAUCUAGUCUUUGAUUUGCAUGUCUCUCAAUGUUGGAUGCUGAUAUUAGUAAAAUUUAUCAUAUAUAUUUUUGGAUUUAUCAUGUUCAUUUGUUUGAUAUCUUCUAUUUUGGUUUAUUCAAUUUAUAAUCAGGCUGUCAAAGAUGAUAUUGGAACAAUUCAGGUCCAGCAUCCCCAUAAACGGCCAUUUUAUGUAUCUCCUAGGACUAUUGAUGAACUCAUUAUGAAUUUGGGAAAGUGGGCG